AUGUCAAUUUCAUGGGAAGAACAUCGUCAGCUCAAGACAAAGGAAUGACUCAGCCAGAAUCAUUAAGAAACAUUCUCAAUCUUAGAUUUUUAUAUUGGGCAUAACUCAUCCUCACAAAAACGACUUAUAAGCCAUUUGAGUUUGAAGACAACGUCUAAAGAACAAAUAUCCUCACAAAAUUAAAGGGCUGGGAACGGCUAGCAGAACUGACCCUGGAUGGAAAUUUCGCCAUCCAGUUGAAGGAGAUACAAACACCACUUUUGUUGUUAUUUGUAAGUGUUGAAUUUGAUGAGAAGUGGUUGUUAGUUGCUUAUGACAUUGUGAUUGAGACUAAUGAUAUUUUCUAUCAAUUAAGUCCAUGGUUUUCAAUAUAUAUUGAUAGUCUUCUGGAUUUUUAUUA